GUAUAGCUCAGUUGGCUAGAGUGUGGGGCUGACAAUGCCAAGGUUGCAGGUUCGGUCCCAGUAUGAGACA